rnacentral:lncRNA from 1 species
GGCUCUGUGCCAUGUGUUUCUUAUCCUUCUCUUGGAGACCAGAAGGCUAAAGAUGAUCUUUUCAUGGAGAUGGCAGAACUAUAAGAGGGGUCACCCAACAGAAGAGAAGUCCAUCAACAGUCAGAAAUGUCUGCCUUGUCAAGUUUGUCAAGAGUUGGAAGUGGACUUCAUGGGGAUCAGACUGAGCCUGUGGAGUGUACUCUGAAUUAUGCUCCAUUACUUAUGAACUGAAGCAGCGCAGCACUAUCUGCCCAGGUGUAUAUGACUCUUUUUAAUUCAGACAUGCUUAAGGAUGCAGUAAGAAACCUGGAAGCCAGAUUCAGGCUCAGCCUAGUUCCCUUAGGGAAAAUCACUCACCUCAGCAGCGGCCAGUUUCUAGGAAAGUCCUUCAGAGAAUCCAUUAAUAACAACUGCUUGCUGCUAACUACUUCCUGGGAAUGCAUACUUCAUAGAAGAGACAACAAAUGAGGAACCUUUUUGAAGAGCAUACUAAUCAAGCUCAAGAAGGAUGUGAAGAUCAAGUCAUGUUUUCAUGACGCCCUGAAACCAGUAUCUACAUAAGUCAAGGUGUUUCAAAAGUUAAAUACCUUCUGAAGACAUGCAUU